CCUGAACGCUGGCGGCGUGGCUAAGACAUGCAAGUCGCACGGUGUAGCAAUACACAGUGGCGAACGGGUGAGUAAUGAAUCGCUAAUGUACCCCGGACUCUGGGAUAGCUGACCGAAAGGUCAGGUAAUACCAGAUGAGACCCCGAUCAGGCAUCUGAUUGUGCUCAAAGGUCCGCCGGUCUGGGAGCAGGCGAUUUCGU
rnacentral:rRNA from 1 species